AGGACGAACGCUGGCGGCGUGCUUAACACAUGCAAGUCGAGCGGAAAGGCCCUUCGGGGUACUCGAGCGGCGAACGGGUGAGUAACACGUGAGUAAUCUGCCCCUAGCUCUGGGAUAGCUCCGGGAAAACCGGGAUUAAUACCAGAUACAACCACUUUAGACAUCUUCUGUGGUGGAAAGAACUUCGGCUAGGGAUGAACUCGCGGCCUAUCAGCUUGUUGGUGAGGUAACGGCUCACCAAGGCGACGACGGGUAGCCGGCCUGAGAGGGCGACCGGCCACACUGGGACUGAGACACGGCCCAGACUCCUACGGGAGGCAGCAGUGGGGAAUAUUGCGCAAUGGGCGAAAGCCUGACGCAGCGACGCCGCGUGGGGAUGAAGGCCUUCGGGUUGUAAACCCCUUUCAGCAGGGACGAAGCGAAAGUGACGGUACCUGCAGAAGAAGCGCCGGCUAACUACGCGCCAGCAGCCGC
rnacentral:rRNA from 1 species